rnacentral:rRNA from 1 species
UUAAGUUAGAAAGGGCGCACGGUGGAUGCCUUGGCACUAGGAGCCGAUGAAGGACGGGACGAACACCGAUAUGCUUCGGGGAGCUGUAAGCAAGCUUUGAUCCGGAGAUUUCCGAAUGGGGAAACCCACCACUCGUAAUGGAGUGGUAUCCAUAUCUGAAUACAUAGGAUAUGAGAAGGCAGACCCGGGGAACUGAAACAUCUAAGUACCCGGAGGAAGAGAAAGCAAAUGCGAUUCCCUGAGUAGCGGCGAGCGAAACGGGACCAGCCCAAACCAAGAGGCUUGCCUCUUGGGGUUGUAGGACACUCUGUACGGAGUUACAAAGGAACGAGGUAGAUGAAGAGGUCUGGAAAGACCCGCCAUAGGAGGUAACAGCCCUGUAGUCAAAACUUCGUUCUCUCCUGAGUGGAUCCUGAGUACGGCGGAACACGUGAAAUUCCGUCGGAAUCCGGGAGGACCAUCUCCCAAGGCUAAAUACUCCCUAGUGACCGAUAGUGAACCAGUACCGUGAGGGAAAGGUGAAAAGCACCCCGGAAGGGGAGUGAAAGAGAUCCUGAAACCGUGUGCCUACAAGUAGUCAGAGCCCGUUAACGGGUGAUGGCGUGCCUUUUGUAGAAUGAACCGGCGAGUUACGAUCCCGUGCAAGGUUAAGCAGAAGAUGCGGAGCCGCAGCGAAAGCGAGUCUGAAUAGGGCGAAUUGAGUACGUGGUCGUAGACCCGAAACCAGGUGAUCUACCCAUGUCCAGGGUGAAGUUCAGGUAACACUGAAUGGAGGCCCGAACCCACGCACGUUGAAAAGUGCGGGGAUGAGGUGUGGGUAGGGGUGAAAUGCCAAUCGAACCUGGAGAUAGCUGGUUCUCUCCGAAAUAGCUUUAGGGCUAGCCUCAAGGUAAGAGUCUCGGAGGUAGAGCACUGAUUGGACUAGGGGCCCCUACCGGGUUACCGAAUUCAGUCAAACUCCGAAUGCCGAUGACUUAUCCUUGGGAGUCAGACUGCGAGUGAUAAGAUCCGUAGUCGAAAGGGAAACAGCCCAGACCGCCAGCUAAGGUCCCAAAGUAUACGUUAAGUGGAAAAGGAUGUGGAGUUGCUUAGACAACCAGGAUGUUGGCUUAGAAGCAGCCACCAUUUAAAGAGUGCGUAAUAGCUCACUGGUCGAGUGACUCUGCGCCGAAAAUGUACCGGGGCUAAACGUAUCACCGAAGCUGCGGACUGUUCUUCGAACAGUGGUAGGAGAGCGUUCUAAGGGCUGUGAAGCAAGACCGGAAGGACUUGUGGAGCGCUUAGAAGUGAGAAUGCCGGUAUGAGUAGCGAAAGAGGGGUGAGAAUCCCCUCCACCGAAUGCCUAAGGUUUCCUGAGGAAGGCUCGUCCGCUCAGGGUUAGUCGGGACCUAAGCCGAGGCCGAAAGGCGUAGGCGAUGGAUAACAGGUUGAUAUUCCUGUACCACCUCCUCACCAUUUGAGCAAUGGGGGGACGCAGGAGGAUAGGGUAAGCGCGGUAUUGGAUAUCCGCGUCCAAGCAGUUAGGCUGGGAAAUAGGCAAAUCCGUUUCCCGUGAAGGCUGAGCUGUGAUGGCGAGCGAAUUAUAGUAGCGAAGUUCCUGAUUCCACACUGCCAAGAAAAGCCUCUAGCGAGGUGAGAGGUGCCCGUACCGCAAACCGACACAGGUAGGCGAGGAGAGAAUCCUAAGGUGAUCGAGAGAACUCUCGUUAAGGAACUCGGCAAAAUGACCCCGUAACUUCGGGAGAAGGGGUGCUCUGUUAGGGUGCAAGCCCGAGAGAGCCGCAGUGAAUAGGGCCCCGGGGAACUGUUUAGGAAAAAACCCAGGGUUUUUUGGGAAGCCGUAAAGGCGAAGUAUAGGGGGCUGACGCCUGCCCCGGUGCUGGAAGGUUAAGAGGAAGCGCUUAGCGUAAGCGAAGGUGCGAAUUGAAGCCCCAGUAAAACGGCGGCCGUAACUAUAACGGUCCUAAAGGAAGCGAAAUUCCUUUUUCGGGGUAAGUUUCCGAACCCCGCACGAAAAGGGGGAAAACAUUUUGGGGCCUUGUUUCAAAGGAGAGGAUUGGGUGAAAUUAUAGUACCUGUGAAGAUGGCAGGUUACCCGCGACAGGGACGGAAAGACCCCCGGGGAAGUUUUAUUGCAGCCUGAUAUUGAAAUGUGGGUACAGCUUGUACAGGAUAGGUAGGAGCCUUGGAAACCGGAGCGCCAGCUUCGGUGGAGGCAAUCGGUGGGAUACUACCCUGGCUGUAUUGACCUUCUAACCCGCCGCCCUUAUCGGGCGGGGAGACAGUGUCAGGUGGGCAGUUUGACUGGGGCGGUCGCCUCCUAAAAGGUAACGGAGGCGCCCAAAGGUUCCCUCAGAAUGGUUGGAAAUCAUUCGCAGAGUGUAAAGGCACAAGGGAGCUUGACUGCGAGACCUACAAGUCGAGCAGGGACGAAAGUCGGGCUUAGUGAUCCGGUGGUUCCGCAUGGAAGGGCCAUCGCUCAACGGAUAAAAGCUACCCCGGGGGAAUUAACAGGGUUUUUCUCCCCCCAAGAAGUCCCACAUUGGAGGGGGAGGUUUGGCCACCUCGAAGUUGGGUUCAUCGCAUCCCGGGGGCUGUAGUCGGGUCCCAAGGGUUGGGGCUGUUCGCCCAUUAAAGCGGUACGCGAGCUGGGUUCAGAACGUCGUGAGACAGUUCGGUCCCUAUCCGUCGCGGGCGCAGGAAAUUUGAGAGGAGCAGUGCUUAGUACGAGAGGACCGGGAUGGACGCACCGCUGGUGUACCAGUUGUUCUGCCAAGGGCAUCGCUGGGUAGCUAUGUGCGGACGGGAUAAGUGCUGAAAGCAUCUAAGCAUGAAGCCCCCCUCAAGAUGAGAUUUCCCAUUCCGCAAGGAAGUAAGAUCCCUGAAAGAUGAUCAGGUUGAUAGGUCUGAGGUGGAAGUGUGGCGACACAUGGAGCUGACAGAUACUAAUCGAUCGAGGACUUAACCAA